UCCUCUUUACAGAGGCAGUUUGUUCCGAGUCCCCGACUUUACUCGCUGGUAACAGAACAUGAGGGUUGCGCUCGUUGCGGGACUUAACCCAACAUUUCACAACACGAGCUGACGACAGCCAUGCACCACCUGUGCACCACCCUCGAAAGCGACUGCUUUUCGGCAGCUUGCAGGUGCAUGUCAAGCCCUGGUAAGGUUCUUCGCGUUGCAUCGAAUUAAGCCAUAUGCUCCACCGCUUGUGCGGGCCCCCGCCAAUUCCUUUGAGUUUCAACCUUGCGGCCGUAGUCCCCAGGCGGUUCACUUAAUGCGUUAGCUGCGGCACCGAAGGAAUCCCCCGACACCUAGUGAACAUCGUUUAUGGCCAAGACUAC
rnacentral:misc_RNA from 1 species